UCAUAAAUAGAUCUAUUAUGUCCAAACCACCUCCAAGGAAUAGUUCCUGACCCUGUUAUCCCCUGAACUGUGCCUGGGCAUUGUCUGAAGGACACAGGUUGACACAUUUAAACACUGUGGACGGGCACUGAGCAUCAAACAAGCCCCGGCACUGCCUUUAUUCCCAUUUCCAGCACACCUGUUAAACCAGGACUGUGGAACCAGGUUGGAGAGGACCUCCAAGGUCGUUGAGUCCAAGCUUUGAUCCAUCACCACCUCAUCAUCCUGCCCAGAGCACUGAGUGGCACAUCCAGUCAUUCCUUGGACACCUCCAGGAGUGAAUCAUCAAGUCCAACUCCCAAAACCCUGCUGAAGCCCGGGAUUGAACCAGGGACCUUUAGAUCUUCAGUCUAACGCUCUCCCAGCUGAGCUACUUCAGCCCUGAAGUGUGGAUCCCUUUCCCUGUGAGGAACAGGCAGACCCACCAGGACAGCCUGAAAAAAGGCACUUUUUAGGGAGAGAGCUUGUUUCAAGCCAAAUACCUGUGGGUCGACCUUCCCACCUCUUCUCAGGGCAGUCCAGGACACAGGACUGGGAAAAAACAGUUGAAGGAACUAAAGAAAAAUCCCUUUCUAUCACUAUUUUUGCUGAUGCCUUUGAAUUAAAAACCAUGUCCCUGUUUCACAGACUCAGACUGGUUGAGGUCAGAAGGGAUCUCAUGGAGAUCAAACCCCUGCUCAGGCAGGAACACCUCCAGCCAGUUGUCCAGGAUCACAUCCAGGUGGCUUUCAAAUAUGGCAAAGAAUGGGAACUCCACCUCUCAGGGCAACCAGUCCCAGCUUUCUCAUCCCCUCCUCACAGGAGAGAUGCUCCAGUCCCUUCAUCCUCCUCCCAACCCUUUGCUGGCCUCUCUCCCGCCUGUCCAU